GACCUCUGCCCCCACUUUAGAUUCCAUAAACAUCUCAGACAAGUCCUUUGAACUUUAGUAUGAACUUUAGUCCCAAGGGGUACUUACGAUUUCCAAUGCAACCCCUCCAUCCCCUUUCUCUUUCACUCAGGAAAGCAAGUAUGAUGGCUAAAGAGUGGAAAGGACAUCCCAGAAACAGCUACUUGAAGUGUUCUAAAAAGGCACAAUAACAGUUUUAAAUUUACCAGCAAUAACGAAUUAACUGCAGCUGAGCUCACAAUUCAUCAGGACACAUCAGCAUGUUAGGCAGUUGCCAUGGAGACCUGCAGGGUGAGAGUGUAAAACACAGGGGCCCAAGGUCCCGAGACCCAGAUCUCAGUUCUAGCUGUUGACCCGGUGUAAGUCACUGGGGCUGAGUUUCCUCCUCCAUAAAAUGAGAUGGCUAGACUUUGGAGCUUAAUUUAGCUAGAAGAGUCUAAGCCUCCGCAGUGGCUGCAGGAAGCACAUCCCUGAGAACUUGGCACUGAGUGAUGAAAGCAAGACAAAGACCAUAGAGCCAUUUGGUGCAUCCCUGCCGCUGUCACUCCAUAUCCUGGACUUGCAGUGAAAGGAGUUUGAAGCCUCCGUCCUAGAUGCGCAUCCGUUUGGGAUGCUUCUCUCAUCGAAGGAGAGCAGACGUCUCAAAUAAAUGGAUGGCUUAAUGGACCGUCUCGCUGGGCCCUACGUAAGGACAGCGGUCCAAGAGACUAAACUGGGAGCAGGGUCAGGUGGAGAAAGUGGCAUCACCAGCUGUCACCAGGCCUUGAAGGCAUCCAGGUCUGGAAAGGUCCCAGGCAUUCAGAUCCAAUAGGAAAAACCAUGGAUGACCCAAAGUAGUGAUGACCUCACCCCAUCCAGAUAGCCGUCCACAUGGAGGAAAGAGUCCAGAGCAAAAAGGCCCUGCUCCUCCCAUCAUGGUAAGUGUCAAGGGCUAUUUCUUCAUGAGAAAACAGGCUAAGCUUUGUGUGCAUCCCAGAUAAGCUCCCAGGGGUCAUUGAACCUGAAAAUGCCAUUUACAGGGCUGUCCAGGUGCCUCUGGGCUUCUUUCUGGGAAGAUAGUCUGUAGCUUUUAUCAGAUACGCAAAUGAGUCUCUUUUCCUUCCUUCAUUCAGAAAUCACUUUUUAAAAAAAAUUACUGAAGUAUAGUUGAUUUACAGUAUUGUGUCAAUGUCUGCUAUACAGCAAAGGGAUGCAGUUAUACAUAUGUAUGCAUUCUUUUGCAUAUUCUUUUCCAUUAUGGUUGAUCACAGGAUAUUGAAUAUAGUUCCCUGUGCUAUGCAGUAGGACCUUGUUGUUGAUCUAUUCUAUGUAUAAUAGUUUGCAUCUGCUAAUCCCAAAUUCCCAAGCCUUCCCUCCUCCACUCCCCUCCCCAAAACCCUUGGCAAUCACAAGUCUGUUCUCUAUGUCUAUUUCUGUCUCAUAAAUAAGUUCAUUUGUGUCAUAUUUUAGGUACCGCAUGUAAGUGAUUUCAUAUAGUAUUUGUCUUUCUCUUUCUGACUUACUUCGCUUAGUAUAGUAAUCUCUAGGUCCAUCCAAGUGGCAGCAAAUGGCAUUAUUUCAUUCUUUUUUAUGGCUGAGUAGUAUUCCAUUGUAUAUGUGGACCACACCUUUAUCCAUUCAUCUGUUGACGGACAUUUCAGUUGUUUCUAUGUCUUGGCUAUUGCGAUUAGUACUGCUAUGAACAUAGGGG
ensembl:lncRNA